UCUUACGGCCACCCGCCUGGUUCACGCUUGAUCUCGGAAGAUAAGAUAGGUUGGGCCUGGUUAGUACUUGGAUGGGAGACCGCCUGGGAAUACCAGGUGCUGUAAGCU
rnacentral:rRNA from 1 species